UACGGAGGGGGCUAGCGUUGUUCGGAAUUACUGGGCGUAAAGCGCGCGUAGGCGGCUUUGUAAGUUAGAGGUGAAAGCCCGGGGCUCAACUCCGGAAUUGCCUUUAAGACUGCAUCGCUAGAAUUGUGGAGAGGUAAGUGGAAUUCCGAGUGUAGAGGUGAAAUUCGUAGAUAUUCGGAAGAACACCAGUGGCGAAGGCGACUUACUGGACACAUAUCGACGCUGAGGUGCGAAAGCGUGGGGAGCAAACAGG
rnacentral:rRNA from 1 species